AUCUCUGCGCGAGUGGCGGUAUCAGAGCCUAUGAGGUUUAUCCAGGCUGACAUUGCUAGUUGAAAACUUUACCCAAUGCCCCCGCCUUGACGACUUGAAAUAUAGUUCGGCAAUGGCAAUUUUUGUGGUCUCCAAGGAG